CCUACGGGAGGCAGCAGUGAGGAAUAUUGGUCAAUGGACGAGAGUCUGAACCAGCCAAGUAGCGUGAAGGAUGACUGCCCUAUGGGUUGUAAACUUCUUUUAUAUGGGAAUAAAACGUUCCACGUGUGGGAUUUUGUAUGUACCAUAUGAAUAAGGAUCGGCUAACUCCGUGCCAGCAGCCGCGGUAAUACGGAGGAUCCGAGCGUUAUCCGGAUUUAUUGGGUUUAAAGGGAGCGUAGGUGGAUUCUUAAGUCAGUUGUGAAAGUUUGCGGCUCAACCGUAAAAUUGCAGUUGAAACUGGCAGUCUUGAGUACAGUAGAGGUGGGCGGAAUUCGUGGUGUAGCGGUGAAAUGCUUAGAUAUCACGAAGAACUCCGAUUGCGAAGGCAGUUCACUGGACUGCAACUGACACUGAGGCUCGAAAGUGUGGGUAUCAAACAGGAUUAGAUACCCCAGUAGUC
rnacentral:rRNA from 1 species